rnacentral:lncRNA from 10 species
GCCUGUUCCCACUUAAGAUGAGCACCCAGGUAGGGGCCGCAAACCCUGAUCAGGUCCACCCUAGCAAUGUCUGAAUAUAACCCAAGUCUCUGUAAGGAGCAGUGGGAUGGAAACCUGUGGUUUCUUAGGCAGUUCCCUUAGGCAUCAUGCACACUGACAAUCACAAAUCACGCAUGGCAGUUCUAGUGUGUUCUUCCCAGUAGGACAGAGGUGGAGUCCUCAGGCGGAAGUGGUGGAUAGGCUGGAUCAGUGGAUCUGGCCAUGAUGUCAGGCACCUAAGGUCGUGCCUGGGGCUCCACAGAGCUGCCUUCUCCACUUCUGCAUCCCUUGCAAGCCUGCAUUCACCUGUUUGCUUCUUGGAAGGAUGCGUUGCCCAUCUCCUGACUGUGGUUCCUUGUGUCCCACGACCAACCAUCACCUUCACUUCAGGCCUGCCCAUGCCUGCCCCUGGGCCAAUCUGCACACACUUUCUUCCCUCUGAGGUCCAUAAGAACCCUGGGCUCAGCCAGAGGAUGAAGAGGGCAGAGAGAGAUGAUGGGACAGGAUCACCAGCUGCAGAGAGCAGUACCCUAUCAGCUGAGAGCUGCAUAGAUGACUGACUGGCAGAGAGGAGUGACCCUCUCUAUUGAGAGCUUCAGAGACCUGCAGAGACAUCCGAAUGACUUGGCUGCAGAAAAGAGCCACCCUCUUCAGGGCCUCCUCUCUGCUAAGAGCUAUCCACUCCUCUGAGCUGUUCUAACACUAAAUAAAACUCUACUUCUUCACCCU